AUACUGACCUGGCAGGGGAGAUAACAUGAUCACGAAGGUGGUUUUCCCAGGGCGAGGCUUAUCCAUUGCACUCCGGAUGUGCUGACCCCUGCGAUUUCCCAAAUGGGGGAAACUCGGCUGCUUCCUUUGUGGUCGUGGGAACUGCGCCCGUGCUCUCCUGA
ensembl:snRNA U1 U1 spliceosomal RNA